rnacentral:rRNA from 1 species
GUCCACGCCGUAAACGAUGUCUACUAGCCGUUGGAGUCCUUGAGGCUUUAGUGGCGCAGCUAACGCACUAAGUAGACCGCCUUGGGAGUACGGUCGCAAGAUUAAAACUCAAAUGAAUUGACGGGGGCCCGCACAAGCGGUGGAGCAUGUGGUUUAAUUCGACGCAACGCGAAGAACCUUACCAGGUCUUGACAUCUAGAGAAUUCGCCAGAGAUGGCUUAGUGCCUUCGGGAGCUCUAAGACAGGUGCUGCAUGGCUGUCGU